GAUGAACGCUGGCGGCGUGCUUAACACAUGCAAGUCGAACGGAAAGGCCGAAGCUUGCUUCGGUACUCGAGUGGCGAACGGGUGAGUAACACGUGGGUGAUCUGCCCUGUACUUCGGGAUAAGCUUGGGAAACUGGGUCUAAUACCGGAUAUGACGAUCUCUUGGAUGGGGUUGUGGAAAGCUUUUGCGGUAUGGGAUGAGCUCGCGGCCUAUCAGCUUGUUGGUGGGGUAAUGGCCUACCAAGGCGUCGACGGGUAGCCGGCCUGAGAGGGUGUACGGCCACAGGGGGCGAAUGAGACGGCCCAGGCUCCGGGGGGGGAGACGAGGGGGGAUUAGGGAACAAGGGGGGCGGACUUGAGGCGGGGCGGCCGCGGGGGGAAUGAGGGCUUUGGUGUUUAAACCUCUUUUGGCAAGCGGGGACGAUUUUGGGUGGCGGUGGGUGAAGAAAAAGCCCCGCCUAACUCCGUG
rnacentral:rRNA from 1 species